CCUACGGGAGGCAGCAGUGAGGAAUAUUGGUCAAUGGGCGCGAGCCUGAACCAGCCAAGUCGCGUGAGGGAAGACGGCCCUACGGGUUGUAAACCUCUUUUGCAGGGGAGCAACGGGCGCCACGUGUGGCGCCACUGAGAGUACCCUAAGAAAAAGCAUCGGCUAACUCCGGGCCGGCAGCGGCGGUAAUACGGGGGAUGCGAGUGUAAGCGGGUUUUAUGGGGUUUAAGGGGUGCGUAGGCGGUGCUUUAAGUCAGUGGUAAAAUUGAGGGGCUCACCCCAGUACUGCCAUUGAAACUGGCGCUCUUGAGUGCAAGAGAAGUAUGCGGAAUGCGUGGUGUAGCGGUGAAAUGCAUAGAUAUCACGCAGAACCCCGAUUGCGAAGGCAGCAUGCCGGCUUCUUACUGACGCUGAAGCACGAAAGCGUGGGGAUCGAACAGGAUUAGAGACCCGUGUAGUC
rnacentral:rRNA from 1 species